rnacentral:rRNA from 1 species
GUGCACCAGGCGCGAAACCUCCGCAAUACACGAAAGUGUGACGGGGCCAUCCCGAGUGCCGUCCGCUGAGGACGGCUUUUCCCCAGUGUACACAGCUGGGGGAAUAAGGAGAGGGCAAGCCUGGUGUCAGCCGCCGCGGUAAUACCAGCUCUCCGAGUGGUGGGGACGCUUAUUGGGCCUAAAGCAUCCGUAGCCGGCUGGGCAAGUCCUCCGUUAAAUCCAACGAUUCAAUCGUUGGGCUGCGGGGGAUACUGUCCAGCUUGGGGGCGGGGAGAGGCCGACGGUAUUCCCGGGGUAGGGGUGAAAUCCUAUAAUCCCGGGAGGACCACCAGUGGCGAAGGCUGUCGGCUAGAACGCGCCCGACGGUGAGGGAUGAAAGCUGGGGGGAGCGAACCGGAUUAGAUACCCGUGUAGU